rnacentral:sRNA from 1 species
AGCAGCUUUUGCUCAUCGGGGGACUCUGUUAUUGGGCAGCUCUUCAGCUGUGAGAUGGAGAACUGCAGCCUCUGCCGCUGUGGCAGUGAGACCGUGCGAGCCUCAUCCACCCUGCUUUUCACACUCUCCUACCCUGAUGAUAAAACUGGGAAGAACUAUGACUUUGCUCAGGUGCUGAAGCGAAGCAUCUGCCUGGACCAGAAUACACAGGCCUGGUGUGACACCUGUGAAAAGUACCAGCCCACGAUUCAGACCCGCAACAUCCGCCAUCUGCCAGAUAUUCUUGUCAUCAAUUGUGAGGUGAACAGCUCAAAAGAGGCUGAUUUCUGGAGAAUGCAGGCUGAGGUUGCCUUCAAGAUGGCAGUAAAGAAACACGGUGGGGAAAUCUCCAAGAACAAGGAAUUUGCUUUGGCUGAUUGGAAGGAACUAGGGAGUCCAGAGGGUGUGCUGGUGUGUCCCUCCAUUGAGGAGUUGAAGAACGUCUGGCUUCCUUUCUCCAUUCGCAUGAAGAUGACCAAAAACAAAGGGCUGGAUGUUUGCAAUUGGACUGAUGGGGAUGAGAUGCAGGUUGUUGAAAAACCGGGAAGAGGAAAGGGAAUAAGGGAGAGAAUAAAGGAGGGCAGGGGAAGGUGAAACUUAGCAGAGGGAAAAGGAAGAGAAUAAGGCCUAGUAUUUACCUGUUAGUGGAUUUUCCAUAGUCACUCAGUUCAGUGUUGGGGUCCUAGAUGGGCUAGGAUGGAGAUAACCCACCCUGGUCCCCCAUCCCCCAUACCCCCAACUCCCUGUCCUCUGUCCCCAUUCCCCUCCCUUCCCCAUCCUUAAACUUAGCUUAGCAGCCUGGGUACCCCCCUCACAGUGGGGCCCAGCCAGGGCAGAGGAGGAGCAUGGUGUCUAUGUGUAUGACCUGAUGGCUACUGUGGUACACAUCCUGGACUCACGCACAGGGGGCAGCCUGGUGGCUCACAUCAAAGUUGGAGAGACCUACCACCAGCGCAAGGAGGGCGUUACUCACCAGCAGUGGUAUCUGUUCAAUGACUUUCUUAUUGAACCUAUUGAUAAGCAUGAAGCUGUGCAGUUUGACAUGAAUUGGAAAGUACCUGCAAUCCUUUAUUAUGUCAAACGGAAUCUCAAUUCCAGAUACAACCUGAACAUCAAGAACCCUAUUGAGGCAAGUGUCUUGCUGGCUGAAGCCUCGCUGGCACGGAAGCAGCGGAAAACACAUACUACCUUUAUUCCACUGAUGCUGAAUGAGAUGCCACAGAUUGGGGACCUGGUGGGUCUGGAUGCUGAGUUUGUCACCCUUAAUGAGGAGGAAGCAGAGUUACGCAGUGAUGGUACCAAGUCUACCAUUAAACCAAGCCAGAUGUCAGUAGCCAGGAUUACCUGUGUUCGGGGCCAGGGACCCAAUGAGGGUAUCCCCUUCAUUGAUGACUACAUCUCUACCCAGGAGCAGGUGGUGGAUUACUUGACUCAAUACUCGGGUAUAAAGCCUGGUGACCUCGAUGCCAAAAUUUCCUCCAAGCACCUAACAACUCUCAAGUCUACCUACUUAAAGCUUCGUUUUCUCAUUGACAUUGGAGUCAAGUUUGUGGGUCAUGGCCUGCAGAAGGACUUCCGGGUCAUCAACCUGAUGGUGCCCAAGGACCAAGUCCUUGACACUGUCUACCUGUUCCAUAUGCCCCGAAAACGAAUGAUUUCCCUGCGAUUCCUUGCUUGGUACUUUCUGGACCUGAAGAUUCAAGGGGAAACCCAUGACAGUAUUGAGGAUGCCCGCACAGCCCUUCAGCUGUACCGAAAGUAUCUGGAGCUAAGCAAAAAUGGCACUGAGCCUGAGUCUUUCCACAAGGUGCUCAAGGGUCUUUAUGAGAAGGGCAGAAAGAUGGACUGGAAGGUGCCUGAGCCUGAGGGCCAAACAAGUCCCAAGAAUGCAGCUGUCUUCUCCUCAGUGCUGGCGCUCUGACUACCCUUCCCAAAGAACCACGGCCCUCUCCCUUUACUGUUCUAUAGCCCCAGAACUGGGAGAUGGCUUCCUAAGUUGGCUAUACCUUGUCCACUUCCAGUACUGGACGUGCUCAGGGUCUAGGGUCACAGAUGGUGCUAUUAAUUGAACUGGAACACAGCAGAAUUGUUGCAAAGGUUCUAGGAGCCAGAUUCAUUCCUUCUUCAUUCUUUGCAAAACAGUGGUACAGACAUGGAGUCUAGAAUUGACCCAGAUGGAAAGUAAUUGGUAUUCUUAAUAUCCUGGGUGACUAAUAUCCAGGCAGAGAAGCUCCUGGAACCAUAACUGUAAGUUCCUAGCUGGCUAGGGAUUGAAGUCCUGGACAGUGACAGAGAAUACCACAGUAGUUCAAGACUUAGCACAAGUCACCAACUGCUUCAGGGAUACCUGGAGGGGCCAGCAAGUAGAGUGUUGGUGGCCCAAGCAAACCAGUGUUGCCAAUACCAUUGCCAAAAGGGCCUUUGGAUCCUGGACAAAGCUUGGCUGCCGGCUUCAUUUAUUCCUGCUGAUGGCUGAGAAGCAUCUGUCUUCCAUCCUACUUGCCUGUCCCAAGUUUUGUUCCAUUUUUUAAAAAUUUGUUGUAAACUGCAUGUUUUAUAAAAUAAAAAUAAAAUAUCGUUUGUUAUUUA